CCUACGGGGGGCUGCAGUGGGGAAUCUUCCGCAAUGGGCGCAAGCCUUACGGAGCAAUGCCGCGUGAGUGAAGAAGGCCUUCGGGUUGUAAAACUCUGUCCUAAGGGAAGAAUGUUACCUGUGAGAACAUUUUAUGUAAAUGACGGUACCUUAGGAGGAAGCCCCGGCUAACUACGUGCCAGCAGCCGCGGUAAUACGUAGGGGGCGAUCGUUGUCCGGACUUACUGGGAGUAAAGCGCGCGUAGGCGGAUAAUUAAGUCAGAUGUGAGAACGCUGGGCUCAACCGAGAGCAUGCAUAUGAUACUGGUUAACUUGAGUGUAGAAGAGGAGAGUGGAAUUACUAGCGUAGCGGUGAAAUGCGUAGAUAUUAGGAGGAACACCAGUGGCGAAGGCGACUCUCUGGACUGUAACUGACGCUGAGGCACGAAAGCGUGGGGAGCGAACAGGAUUAGAUACCCUGGUAGUC
rnacentral:rRNA from 1 species